rnacentral:ncRNA from 1 species
GAACGCCGUAUGAAGGGAAACUUUCACGUACGGUGUGAGCUGGGGGAAAAGAGAGCCCUAAAGGGUGACUCUUACCUAUCAGCAU